rnacentral:rRNA from 1 species
GAUGAACGCUGGCGGCGUGCCUUAUACAUGCAAGUCGAGCGAACAGACGAGGAGCUUGCUCCUCUGACGUUAGCGGCGGAGGGGUGAGUAACACGUGGAUAACCUACCUAUAAGACUGGGAUAACUUCGGGAAACCGGAGCUAAUGCCGGAUAACUUAGUGAACCGCAUGGGUCACUAGUGGAAGACGGUUUUGCUGUCACUUAUAGAUUGAUCCGCGCCGCAUUAGCUAGUUGGUCAGGUAACGGCUUACCAAGGCGACGAUGCGUAGGCGACCUGAGAGGGUGAUCAGCCACACUGGAACUGAGACACGGCCCAGACUCCUACGGGAGGCAGCAGUAGGGAAUCUUCCGCAAUGGGCGAAAGCCUGACGGAGCAACGCCGCGUGUGUGAUGAAGGUCUUCGGGUCGUAAAGCUCUGUUAUUAGGGAAGAACAAAUGUGUAAGUAACUAUGCACGUCUUGACGGUACCUAAUCAGAAAGCCACGGCUAACUACGUG